rnacentral:snRNA from 1 species
AUCGCUUCUCGGCCUUUUGGCUAAGAUCAAGUGUAGUAUCUGUUCUUAUCAGUUUAAUAGUUUUCUAUAUAGAUUUAUAAAUUUGAUCUAUAAUUAUAUCUUCA